rnacentral:rRNA from 1 species
GCAAUGGACGAAAGUCUGACGGAGCAACGCCGCGUGAGUGAUGAAGGUUUUCGGAUCGUAAAGCUCUGUUGUUAGGGAAGAACAAGUACCGUUCGAAUAGGGCGGUACCUUGACGGUACCUAACCAGAAAGCCACGGCUAACUACGUGCCAGCAGCCGCGGUAAUACGUAGGUGGCAAGCGUUGUCCGGAAUUAUUGGGCGUAAAGGGCUCGCAGGCGGUUUCUUAAGUCUGAUGUGAAAGCCCCCGGCUCAACCGGGGAGGGUCAUUGGAAACUGGGGAACUUGAGUGCAGAAGAGGAGAGUGGAAUUCCACGUGUAGCGGUGAAAUGCGUAGAGAUGUGGAGGAACACCAGUGGCGAAGGCGACUCUCUGGUCUGUAACUGACGCUGAGGAGCGAAAGCGUGGGGAGCGAACAGGAUUAGAUACCCUGGUAGUCCACGCCGUAAACGAUGAGUGCUAAGUGUUAGGGGGUUUCCGCCCCUUAGUGCUGCAGCUAACGCAUUAAGCACUCCGCCUGGGGAGUACGGUCGCAAGACUGAAACUCAAAGGAAUUGACGGGGGCCCGCACAAGC